rfam:Oryza glumipatula chromosome 8, whole genome shotgun sequence.
AAUAAGUGCAGUUUUGCACUAUUUAUGUUCAACGUUUGACCGUUUGUCUUAUUUGAAAAAUUUUUAUGAUUAGUAUUUUUAUUGCUAUUAGAAGAUAAAACGUGAAUAGUACUUUAUGUUUGACUAAAUAUUUUCAAAUUUUUCAUAAUUUUUUUAAAUAAGACGGACGGUAAAACGUUCACGGCUACACUUAUU